UGGGGAAUCUUGCACAAUGGGCGGAAGCCUGAUGCAGCGACGCCGCGUGGGGGAUGACGGCCUUCGGGUUGUAAACUCCUUUCGCCAGGGACGAAGCCGUGAGGUGACGGUACCUGGAUAAGAAGCACCGGCUAACUACGUGCCAGCAGCCGCGGUAAUACGUAGGGUGCGAGCGUUGUCCGGAAUUACUGGGCGUAAAGAGCUCGUAGGUGGUUUGUCGCGUCGUCUGUGAAAUUCCGGGGCUUAACUCCGGGCGUGCAGGCGAUACGGGCAUAACUUGAGUGCUGUAGGGGAGACUGGAAUUCCUGGUGUAGCGGUGAAAUGCGCAGAUAUCAGGAGGAACACCGAUGGUGAAGGCAGGUCUCUGGGCAGUAACUGACGCUGAGGAGCGAAAGCAUGGGUAGCGAACAGG
rnacentral:rRNA from 1 species